ACCUUGCCGCUUGACAGUAUUGCAAGUGCAGAUUUCUGGUGUCGUAUUCAGACAACUCGAUGUCUCGUCUUGAUUCACCGCAGGCAGAUUUCACUUGAAUGUUCUCGUACCGGCAACAACUACAUGUAUAUGAACCAAGUCAAAUAUCCUGCAAAGUAAUGUGUGAACAAACAUGCUAGUUAAAUAUUGUGGGAAGACAAAAGGGGAUUGGAUUUCUAAAGAAAACUAACGCACCAAUUGCAUAUAAUGACAUAAUUAACAAGUGCAAAUUGAACUGUGGUGACAUGGAACACGGAGUAGGAAUUCCGGAG